rnacentral:rRNA from 1 species
UACGUAGGGUGCGAGCGUUAAUCGGAAUUACUGGGCGUAAAGCGUGCGCAGGCGGUUCGUUGUGUCGGCGGUGAAAGCCCCGGGCUUAACCUGGGAAUGGCCGUUGAAACUGGCGAACUGGAGUGUGGCAGAGGGGGGUGGAAUUCCGCGUGUAGCAGUGAAAUGCGUAGAGAUGCGGAGGAACACCAAUUGCGAAGGCAGCUCACUAAGCAGAUAUUGACGCUGAGGCACGAAAGCGUGGGGAUCAAACAGG